UGGAGGGCAAGUCUGGUGCCAGCAGCCGCGGUAAUUCCAGCUCCAAUAGCGUAUAUUAAAGUUGUUGCAGUUAAAAAGCUCGUAGUUGAAUUUCGGGGUUAGUAGGUUGGUCGUGCCUCAGGUAUAUACUGAUCUCACUGAUUCCUCCUUCCUGAUGAACCGUAAUGCCAUUAAUUUGGUGUUACGGGAAAUCUGGACUGUUACUUUGAAAAAAUUAGAGUGUUUAAAGCAGGCUAACGCUUGAAUACAUUAGCAUGGAAUAAUGAAAUAGGAUGUUCGAUCCUAUUUUGUUGGUUUCUAGGAUUGAUGUAAUGAUUAAUAGGGAUAGUUGGGGGCAUUAGUAUUCAAUUGUCAGAGGUGAAAUUCUUGGAUUUAUUGAAGACUAACUACUGCGAAAGCAUUUGCCAAGGAUGUUUUCAUUAAUCAAGAACGAAAGUUAGGGGAUCGAAGACGAUCAGAUACCGUCGUAGUCUUAACCAUAAACUAUGCUGACUAGGGAUCGGAUGAUGUUAAUUUUUUAAUGACUCAUUCGGCGCCUUACGGGAAAC
rnacentral:rRNA from 1 species